UACGUAGGGUGCGAGCGUUGUCCGGAAUUAUUGGGCGUAAAGGGCUCGUAGGCGGUUUGUCGCGUCGGGAGUGAAAACUCAGGGCUUAACCCUGAGCCUGCUUCCGAUACGGGCAGACUAGAGGUAUGCAGGGGAGAACGGAAUUCCUGGUGUAGCGGUGAAAUGCGCAGAUAUCAGGAGGAACACCGACGGCGAAGGCAGCACUCUGGGCCGGUACUGACGCUGAGGAGCGAAAGCAUGGGGAGCGAACAGG
rnacentral:rRNA from 1 species